UGUAUGCUCUCGCUCUCCCUCUCCCUCGAAUAAUGAAUUCACAUUUUUCUUCGUCCCCGCUGCAAUAAUUCUAUUUUUGAAGGCUCUACACUAUAUAUGCACCAUCCACGGGCCCGUGCGAGAUUUCGAAUUUCGAUCAAUUUUCUCAGCGAGGUUUCGAGCUUUCUGAGGUUCUUCCGCACAUUUCACUAACUCUCUCUCUCACGAUUGCUCCGUUCAUUGCCUUAAAUUUAUUUUCCUACAAGGGAAAAAAGCCGUAGUUUCUGACGAAGAGGACGAGGUCGAAGAGGAGGACGACAGGGAGCCCGUUGACGUGGAUGCAGUCCGCGAGAUCGAUGACGAUGAAAAAGACGGUAUUCGCUUUCGGGUUGUUAUUUAGGGCUGAAACUUGGGAUUCUGGGUUUCAUUUGCGUUUUGUUUUGGUGAAUUCGCUGGGGUGGUUUACUGGAUUGAUUGGUGGGUUGGGGUUCCAAGUCCACAAAUUGCGGUCCGUUUGUUUGCAUGGAGAUUGGAGAGUAACAAUGGUUUCUGGUGAAGUUUUUUUUUCUUUCUUUAAUGGAGUAUGUUCGGUUGAUGAGAAUGCGGGAAAGGGAAAAUUUUUUUGUCUCGGGUUUGAAUUUUAUGCAAGUAUUAUUAGUCCCAGUCGUCAUAACUCCCACCGCUGGGAGCUUCAGCUGGGGGCUCCCGCUAGCGUAUUUUGGAAUUGAAUAGCUUCUGUCUUGAAUGAGUACAACUAACAAAAGAAUGAAAUCAGAUAUCUUAUCAUCGAGUGAAAGAUGGAUUGCGUGUUGAAGUGUCCACAGGCUUUAGAUUUUAUUGCUUAGAUGUUAUCAUCGAGGAAAAGAUGUCAUGUUUACCAUGAGCACUUGUUCCUCAUGAUGUUGCUUUGUAGAUUUGACCUUGGCUUCAAUGAAAUAAUAAUAAUUUUUUUCUGUGUUUACUGAUUGAAACCCUAGGUAAUGGAUCCAUAUGUUAAUCCCUUAGUGUCUCACUUAAAGUCGAUGCUAAGUUAUCGCAAGUUCAGGAGGGCACAAAAGUGGAAGUUGAUGAACUCAGGAUGAUCGAGUAAUCAGAGUAUACUAUGAGAAUAGUUUCUUGCUUUUGCAUCUCUCUCAUGAGCAUCCGGGCACAUUCAUCCUGACUUAUAUAAGGAGUACAAACUACAAACCAGCACCAUGAGUAUGUUGGCCUAUAUCCAAAGGGAUUGAAGUUCUGGAAAAGGAUGUUUGAGGACAUUGUUUGGCUCGUGACAUACUUUCAGAGACAUAUUGAUGAUCCUCAAUCGGCACACUCUCUCAGGUCAGUCGCUUCCAGGGUGCCGAUGCGAAGUCCUUCAACUGGGGGCAGUUCGGGGCAUCCAUGGGUAGUGGCUGGGGUGGUCCGACGAAGGAGAUAAUUGGAGAGGUCAGUCUUAUGACAGGGAUCGCGCUUCUACACCUGGUUCAAGAACAGGACAAAAUGAUCACAGAAAUGGCAGUGGCUGAGAUGGACAUCUCAGUGGGUUGCCUAGGCCAUAUGGUGGGCGUGGAGUUGUGGGCGUGGUCGAGGCUCAUUUAACAGUAGCAGAGAAAAUAAUUCCAGCAAUGAGAGACAGAAUUCCGGUUAUGAUGCUACUAAAUGGGAUUCAGAUUGCAAGGAUGGGGAAGAUGGUUGGGGCGAUUUUCCAAGUGCUAAAAUUCAGAAGUCACCUGGCAGGGAAGCUUUCCCAAGUGGUUGGGGCACCAGGGGAAGCGACAGGUGGUAGUAGUUGGGGUGGUGAUGGAGCUAGCGGUGGUGGCGGAGGAAAUUGGAGUGGUGCCAUUGCAAAUGAUGCUACUCCUGAUGACGGGAGUUUGGGUUGGGGAACGGCUCCUAAGAGAAGUUCUUCAGAGUCCCAAACCGGGAAUGGAUGGUCUGGAAGAAGUCGCGGUGGUUGGUGAACCGUGAAGCCCGAUAAACUCUAGUACAUCUUCCUUUUCAGGUCGCCCAUUUCCAUCCACAACUAGUAUCCACGUUUUCAAAUGGCAACCAUGGCGGCCGUUAAAGUCGGACCCAUUUUGGAACUUUCCUGGCCUCGAGUAAAUUAUGGAAUUGAUUGUAAUGAUCAAUACUCGACGCUUUAUAUCUAGUUCAUUUAAAUUAUAAUUUCGUAGUAAAAUGAUCUUUUCGCAA